rnacentral:rRNA from 1 species
GGUUAAGUGACUAAGCGUACACGGUGGAUGCCUUGGCAGUCAGAGGCGAUGAAAGACGUAAUAACUUGCGAUAAGCCCAGAUUAGGUAGUAAUAACCUUUUGAGUCUG